AGAGUUUGAUCCUGGCUCAGAGCGAACGCUGGCGGCAGGCCUAACACAUGCAAGUCGAACGAACUCUUCGGAGUUAGUGGCGGACGGGUGAGUAACACGUGGGAACGUGCCUUUAGGUUCGGAAUAACUCAGGGAAACUUGAGCUAAUACCGAAUGUGCCCUUCGGGGGAAAGAUUUAUCGCCUUUAGAGCGGCCCGCGUCUGAUUAGCUUGUUGGUGAGGUAAUGGCUCACCAAGGCUACGAUCAGUAGCUGGUCUGAGAGGAUGACCAGCCACAUUGGGACUGAGACACGGCCCAAACUCCUACGGGAGGCAGCAGUGGGGAAUCUUGCGCAAUGGGCGAAAGCCUGACGCAGCCAUGCCGCGUGUAUGAUGAAGGUCUUAGGAUUGUAAAAUACUUUCACCGGUGAAGAUAAUGACUGUAGUCGGAGAAGAAGCCCCGGCUAACUUCGUGCCAGCAGCCGCGGUAAUACGAAGGGGGCUAGCGUUGCUCGGAAUUACUGGGCGUAAAGGGAGCGUAGGCGGACAUUUAAGUCAGAGGUGAAAUCCCGGAGCUUAACUUCGGAACUGCCUUUGAUACUGGGUGUCUUGAGUGUGAGAGAGGUAUGUGGAACUCCGAGUGUAGAGGUGAAAUUCGUAGAUAUUCGGAAGAACACCAGUGGCGAA
rnacentral:rRNA from 1 species